rnacentral:rRNA from 2 species
UGCAGUCGAGCGGACAGAAGGGAGCUUGCUCCCGGAUGUUAGCGGCGGACGGGUGAGUAACACGUGGGUAACCUGCCUGUAAGACUGGGAUAACUCCGGGAAACCGGAGCUAAUACCGGAUAGUUCCUUGAACCGCAUGGUUCAAGGAUGAAAGACGGUUUCGGCUGUCACUUACAGAUGGACCCGCGGCGCAUUAGCUAGUUGGUGAGGUAACGGCUCACCAAGGCGACGAUGCGUAGCCGACCUGAGAGGGUGAUCGGCCACACUGGGACUGAGACACGGCCCAGACUCCUACGGGAGGCAGCAGUAGGGAAUCUUCCGCAAUGGACGAAAGUCUGACGGAGCAACGCCGCGUGAGUGAUGAAGGUUUUCGGAUCGUAAAGCUCUGUUGUUAGGGAAGAACAAGUGCAAGAGUAACUGCUUGCACCUUGACGGUACCUAACCAGAAAGCCACGGCUAACUACGUGCCAGCAGCCGCGGUAAUACGUAGGUGGCAAGCGUUGUCCGGAAUUAUUGGGCGUAAAGGGCUCGCAGGCGGUUUCUUAAGUCUGAUGUGAAAGCCCCCGGCUCAACCGGGGAGGGUCAUUGGAAACUGGGAAACUUGAGUGCAGAAGAGGAGAGUGGAAUUCCACGUGUAGCGGUGAAAUGCGUAGAGAUGUGGAGGAACACCAGUGGCGAAGGCGACUCUCUGGUCUGUAACUGACGCUGAGGAGCGAAAGCGUGGGGAGCGAACAGGAUUAGAUACCCUGGUAGUCCACGCCGUAAACGAUGAGUGCUAAGUGUUAGGGGGUUUCCGCCCCUUAGUGCUGCAGCUAACGCAUUAAGCACUCCGCCUGGGGAGUACGGUCGCAAGACUGAAACUCAAAGGAAUUGACGGGGGCCCGCACAAGCGGUGGACAUGUGGUUUAAU